GAUGAACGCUGGCGGCGUGCUUAACACAUGCAAGUCGAACGAUGAAGCCCAGCUUGCUGGGUGGAUUAGUGGCGAACGGGUGAGUAACACGUGAGUAACCUGCCCUUAACUCUGGGAUAAGCCUGGGAAACUGGGUCUAAUACCGGAUAGGAGCGUCCACCGCAUGGUGGGUGUUGGAAAGAUUUAUCGGUUUUGGAUGGACUCGCGGCCUAUCAGCUUGUUGGUGAGGUAAUGGCUCACCAAGACGACGACGGGUAGCCGGCCUGAGAGGGUGACCGGCCACACUGGGACUGAGACACGGCCCAGACUCCUACGGGAGGCAGCAGUGGGGAAUAUUGCACAAUGGGCGCGAGCCUGAUGCAGCGACGCCGCGUGAGGGAUGACGGCCUUCGGGUUGUAAACCUCUUUCAGUAGGGAAGAAGCGAAAGUGACGGUACCUGCAGAAGAAGCACCGGCUAACUACGU
rnacentral:rRNA from 1 species